CCCCUGGGCGGGCGGAAAGGGGUGGGGAAGGGGUGGCCGCGGCCUUCCGCCGGCGGCGCGGCCAUGGCGGCCUGUGCCUUUCGGAGGAGCAUCGCUUCCCAGCUUUCAAAGGUUUUGGAUCUGCCACCAGAAAAUUUGAUAAAGUCCAUAUCUGCAGUUCCUGUCUCCAAAAAACGGCAUGUUGCUGAUUUCCAGCUUUCCAUCGCUUCUGUAACAGAAGACAGUUCUAGUGAUAGCUCAGCACAAGACCUUCAUCGUCAAGCUCAGAAACUAGCUGAAAGGCUAAAAUGUGAUGCUGUAGUGAGUGAAAUCAGUACUGGUCCAGGAACAGUGAACUUUACGAUAAACAGGGAAUUAUUAGCAAAGACUGUGUUGCAGCAGGUGUUGAAAGAUGGCUCAGAGUAUGGAGUAAAAAGUGAACUUUUCUCUGCAGUGCCUAGACAAAAAGCAGUAAUUGAGUUCAGCUCCCCUAAUAUUGCCAAAAAGUUUCACAUAGGACAUUUGCGAUCCACAAUAAUAGGGAAUUUUAUAGCAAAUCUCAAAGUUGCAUUGGGACAUGAAGUAAUAAGAAUAAAUUACCUCGGUGACUGGGGCAUGCAGUUCGGCUUAUUGGGUGUUGGUUUCCAGUGCUUUGGCAACAAAGAAAAGCUAAAAUCCAGUCCUUUGCAACAUCUUUUUGAGGUGUAUGUGCAGAUUAACAAAGAAGCAGAAGAUGAAAACGUGAAAAAGCUGGCAAAGGAUUUCUUUAGAAAACUGGAGGAACAUGAUGAGCAGACAUUGUCACUUUGGAAACAAUUUAGAGACUUCAGUAUUGAGGAAUACAUCCGAAUUUAUAAGCGUCUAGGAGUGCACUUUGAUGAAUAUUCCGGAGAGUCAUUUUACCAAGAGAAGUCCCAGGAAGUUCUAAAGAUGCUGGAGGAUAAAGGACUCCUUCAGAAAACAGUAAAAGGAACAGGAAUUGUGGAUCUUUCAGAAAAGAAAGACCUCUCAUCGUUUUCCACCGUCGUGCGCAGUGAUGGGACAUCUCUUUAUAUCACAAGAGAUCUGGCUGCUGCUAUAGACCGAAUGAAUAGGCAUAGCUGUGAUACCAUGAUUUAUGUGACAGAUAAAAGUCAAAGUAAUCACUUUCAACACUUGUUCCAAAUACUAAAGCUUAUGGGUUAUGACUGGGCAGAAAGGUGCCAGCAUGUGUCUUUUGGUCUGGUUCAAGGGAUGAAGACUCGGAGGGGAGAAGUAGUUUUCCUGGAAGAUGUUUUAAAUGAAGUUCGCUCAAGGAUGUUACAAAACAUGGCUUCUGCAAAAACAACCAAAGAGAUAGAAAACCCUAUGGAGACAGCAGAGAAAGUUGGCCUUGCAGCACUAAUAAUUCAGGACUUCCGGGGCCUUCUGUCAUCUGAUUAUCAGUUUAGCUGGGACCGAGCUCUUCAGAGUCGUGGAGAUACAGGUGUGUUCUUGCAGUACACCCAUGCCAGACUCCAUAGGUAAGAAGGAGCAUUUGUGUGCAGAAGUACAGUUUGACAUGUGUUUUAACCUUAUUAACUUCUUUGUUCAUUGGUAGAGUUAACUCCUUCCCUAAAUACUCACGCUGCAGCAGAGGUGUGAGUUUACGAUAGGAGUCACUGAGACUUCCCAGAAGAGCAAUCCAAUUAAAAUGAAAUUUCUGCCUCAUUUCCACAGGGCUGAGCUAACUGUCCAUGUACUUCCUCAGUUCUAGGAGCAGCCUCUCUGUGCGCUUGCUGUCAGUGAUGAAGAACGGUCGCCCUAGGAUUAAGGAAACUGAUUUAAAAAACAAAAUGCCCGUACUUGUAAAGUAUACCACAUCACAGAACUUAGAUGUUUUAGGCUACCACUGUAGCUAGUAGGGGUGUUUUUUGAUCAUUCUGUUAUUUCUCACUGUUGUAACCAAGUUGUUUUGACCUUCCUGUUGACUCAGGUCAAACAUGUAACAUAUUUAAUUCUUUCUAAAAAGAGUUUCAGAAGAGUCCAGUUUGAACAGUUGUAUUGAUUACCAUGAUCUGUCAGAGCAUUUCGAAUGCAGACAUGGAUACAGCUUUUCAUAAAAGCAUGUAAGGUACCUUCUUGUAUCAAUCAGGCCAAAGGCCUGUACCAACCUGGUAUUCUGUCUGAGGCAAUGGUAACAGGAGAUGGUAUUCAGGGAGAUCAUGCAAGCCUGAUCCCUCUCUGUAGUCCAUUCCUCUUCUACUCCCUUAUCAUCUAGGUAUUGAUGGUGCUGCAGUACCGUUACUGGGGUAUUGACGGCCUCCCUAGCCCUUUCAGCAUCAGCUUCUGGACCUGUCGUCCAUGCACAUCUCUAAUCCUGUUGAUCCUGAAUGUUUAGAACAGAUGCAUGGGAAUGAGCAGCUAACUGAUGUUAACGUGGCAUGCUUGCAAGAGCCAGAUGCCAUCUCUGUUCUUCAGCAUCUUCUCAGGUAUGAUGAGGUCCUGUAUCGAUCUUCUCAGGAUCUGCAGCCCAAGCACAUUGUCAGCUACCUCCUCACACUUAGCCAUCUUGCAGCCGUGGCACAUAAAACCCUUCCCGUGAAAGGCAGCGCCCCUGACGUAGCGCAGGCAAGGCGCUGUCUCUUUCAAGCUGCUCGCUCAGUUCUAGCCAACGGGAUGAAACUUCUUGGCAUCACACCUGUAACUCAAAUGUAAUGAGGCUCUAUGCCCUGUAAAGUCAUGUCUCUCAGUAAAAGGGUUUUUUAAGAUAAUAUAAA